rfam:Chelonia mydas contig82835, whole genome shotgun sequence.
GGGGGUAUAGCUCAGUGGUAGAGUGUUUGACUGCAAAUCAAGUGGUCUGUGUUUCAAAUUCAAGUGCCCUCU